rnacentral:rRNA from 1 species
GACGGAGGAUGCAAGCGUUAAUCGGACUUACUGGGCGUAAAGCGUGCGUAGGUGGCGGUUUAAGUCUGCUGUGAAAGCCCGGGGCUCAACCUGGGAACGGCAGUGGAGACUGAACGGCUCGAGUGCCAGAGAGGAUCGUGGAACUCCCGGUGUAGCAGUGAAAUGCGUAGAGAUCGGGAAGAACACCCAUGGCGAAGGCAGCGGUCUGGCUGGACACUGACACUGAGGCACGAAGGCGUGGGGAGCAAACGGG